rnacentral:rRNA from 1 species
AGUGAACGCUGGCGGUAGGCCUAACACAUGCAAGUCGAACGGCAGCACAGUAAGAGCUUGCUCUUACGGGUGGCGAGUGGCGGACGGGUGAGGAAUACAUCGGAAUCUACUUUUUCGUGGGGGAUAACGUAGGGAAACUCACGCUAAUACCGCAUACGACCUACGGGUGAAAGCAGGGGAUCUUCGGACCUUGCGCGAUUGAAUGAGCCGAUGUCGGAUUAGCUAGUUGGCGGGGUAAAGGCCCACCAAGGCGGCGAUCCGUAGCUGGUCUGAGAGGAUGAUCAGCCACACUGGAACUGAGACACGGUCCAGACUCCUACGGGAGGCAGCAGUGGGGAAUAUUGGACAAUGGGCGCAAGCCUGAUCCAGCCAUACCGCGUGGGUGAAGAAGGCCUUCGGGUUGUAAAGCCCUUUUGUUGGGAAAGAAAAGCAGCAGGUUAAUACCCCGCUGUUCUGACGGUACCCAAAGAAUAAGCACCGGCUAACUUCGUG